rnacentral:misc_RNA from 1 species
AAAGGCUCAAAGGGCCACUCUCUUUAGAUCCAACCCUGCUACGAUGUUCUGAUUCUUUACCAAGAACAAGCACAACCCAUUAUUGCUGUUUCUUAAAGGAUAACAAGUAAUAGAGCUUUUAAGAGAAUGGGGUGCUUUUGCAAAGGAGUGGGCAAGUCGGAGAGAAUGCAGGCCAACAUUUUCUCUGGUAAGGGUCCAGCCAUGGCCACAAUCUCCUGCUCCGGCAACGGAACAUCUGGCA